UGAUCUGCCCGUCUCAGUCUCCCAAAGUGCUGGGAUUACAGGCGUGAGCCACCGCGCCCAGCCAGGCAAGCCCCCUGAUUCUCAACAAGAGGGGUUAGCAGUGUGAAGAUAAGAUGCGGCUUUGGUCCAAAGUCCAGAGUGCUUCUUGGGGCUGAGGGGCGUAGCCAUUGCAGUGCUUUUCUAGGGGAGAAUGGGUCUGGCUCCCUCUCCUGAGUUGGGGGACAUGAGCCUAGCAACACUGCUGUGCAGUUUGCUCGGGUUCUAGACAUCGUCCCUAUUGGCUGUGCAUGGGAGGCUUGGUGAAGCAGAGAAAGGAAAGUCCAGGAAAGGGGCUCAAAAAGUCAAAACUGUUAAUCACAAAACAAAAGAAAAAGUUAAUUUUUAUGGAAAAGAAGGGGAUUUUUAUUUGGAAAUGCUUAAUAAUAGUGGUUUUCACUCUCUAGUUAUCACAAAUAGCAUUAGAAAUGAAUGCGAUUGCAAUUUACUCCAUCUUCACCAAACUUUGUAGAACUGCAUGUCAACAUAUCUCUGACUUCUUUCAGUCAGUUGUCAGUCACCAUUUUGAAAAAAAUACCCACAUGUUCGAUACUUUGAUAUCACAAGCACUUGAGUUCUUAGUGGGAUUCUCAGCUCUCCAGUUUGGUCUACCAUUUGCUAAUUAGACUUCUCUUACUGUGCCAUAAAAUGAAGACUUUAACAGCAGAAAAGCAAUUCUUCCAAUGUUUACUUUAAGUUUCUCUCUUUUUAAGGAUCUUUUGAAUUUUGAUGAUCCACUGAAUAUUGAAGCUGCAGAACAUCAUUUGCGGGACAAGGAGGACUUCCGGAAUAAAGUGGAUGACUACAUCAAACGUUAUGCCAGAUGAUAAAAGGGGACGAUUGCGGGCCCAUGGACUGUGUUACAGUUUGUCUCUAACAUGAAACAGCAAGAGGUAGCCCCCUCUCCCGUCCUCAUGCUCCCUCUCAGUCCCCUGGAUUGCCCCAGUCCUGUGACCAUGUUGCCCUGAAGAAGACCAUCUUCAUGACUGCUCAUUGUAGAUGGAGAAUUCAACAUAAAUACAGCAAGAAAAUGUGUUUGGGCUUCUGAAGAGUUGUCUGCUUACCUUAACAUGUUUACUUUUUUGAACUUGUACUGUAUAGGCUGUUGGUGAAAUUCUUAAGAAGUUGUAAUGAACUCAAAAUUGAGGCCAGGCUUGCUUUCCCUUUUCCCAAACAAAAUUGGUUUUCUGCACAAGCGAUGCUAAUGAUGUGUUCAGUGUAACUCGCAGAUUGGCAAUAAGAUACCCGCUACAAACUGUGAUUGGAUGCAAAAUCUCUUAGCUUCUUUCACGAAUGUUGGCCCUGCCUAGAUGUUGUGAAGCCUCCCAGAAUGCAUAGAGUCAUUCACUGCAGAUCUCUUAUUGAAAUGCGUAUUUUAUUUAAUGUAAGUAUAUUUUGGAACAGAUUUGUAAUUUGUACAA
rnacentral:sRNA from 1 species